UUUUCACAUGACAGAGGGAGAAACUAAGAAAGGAAACCAGAAGACUCUCUGACCUCCUGUGUAUCACGGCUAUUAGUAACAGGCUUGUUCUCAUUAUUCUCAAGCCUAAUAUGCCUCAAGGAACUAUUCAGGAUAUCUUUAACGAUGUGACACUUAACAGGGAAGCAACCAACACACUUGUCCUGCUGCCAGUACUCCGCCAUCUGGUUCUAAUCAACUGGUCAUACCAUCUCCGCUAAACCAACAAACUGCCCACUUGUGUGUGUCCAGUGAAUAGAAAAGACAUUUACCGGGAAUAGACCGCCUUUUCGAACGAGGAGAAGAUGAGAAAAACAGGGCAGGAGGACUUGUCUCCAGCUGCUUCGUUAUACGCAGCGUUAAGCUUCUUGUUGCCAUUAGAGGCAACUUAUUACACACAAGUCAAGAAAAACGGAAAUGAAAUGUAUGACCUCAAGCACGGAUGGAGAAGUCGGUGACCUCACUGGAAGAGAGAGAGCAGUCAAUCACGGAACAGGCAGUCAAGAGCAACAUGAAUACUCGAUGAAUAACAUUUACUUUAUUCAACGUCAGCUAGUAAAAGUAUAACCACGAAGCUAGUUAAGAGAGAAAACCAAGUUAAGAAAUAAAAUAAGCUUCAGGCCCUUUAUCGGUAGUUAUUCAUUUUUUUAUCUAAUGUUGGAUUGUUGUGGAACUUGAUCAGCUCGAUAAUGGCGUUAUUGUAUUGAUAUUUGUCCGUUAUUGAGAUUAUUGAGUACAAGUUGGUGAGUUGCUUUGAAAUGGAUAGACUGGGCUGGAAGCAACUGGUGUUUUCUUUGUGGUUUGUUGAGUGUGUUAAGGUUCUUGUAUGAUAGAAGCUGGGUUUUGUUAAUUACUUAACUAACAUUCGAUCAUGUGAGUAUCGGUGUGGGCAGAAUGUGUGAGUUGUGAUCCUUUUCUAAGAAAAAGCAAUUCGUUAAUCUGGUGGGGGCCAUCGAUGAGUUUACUUUGGUAAAGGUCAAGUGUUUACUUGCAAACUAUUUCUGGAAGGGUUUACCGUCUUAUUUUGUUUGAACAUUUUUUGCUAAUGAGAAGAGCUUUGAAGAUUAUUCAACGGAAUAAUACCUAAUGAGAAGACCAGCGAUAAACACUUAAUCGAAGUUGUUAAAUUUUAGGCACAUCAAUGAUCAAACAUAGAAAUAAUACUCAACACAGAGCAGAGAAGAUGCUUUAUUUACAUCAAAAAGUCAUGAAGAUAAUUAAUCUACCUGACACUUGAGUUCAAGCUCUUGGUUCCUUAGUUGUGACCAACACUCCAAAUGCUCAGACCUGUAAUUAUUAGUUCACAACUUCCUUCCGUGGUGCAACCUCGCUUGUGGCCUCACCUCUUCCACCUUCCACAACACUAUUAGCAUCACACACACCAUGGUUGACGAGUGACGACACUGCUCUUAGGGCCAUCAUUACAGAGUUAUCAAAAUAACUAUAAUAAUUACAGAAUGAUCAAAGUAGCUAUAAUAAUAAUAAAAUGGAGAAGACGGAAGUCUAGUCCAGAAUCUCAAAGAAAAAAUAAAAAAAGAACCAGUGAAGAAACCCUCAGAAGAUGCCAAGAAUCUACAGCAAUGGUUCUUCCUCUAAAACCUCCAUGGUAAGUAACCCAAGAAGGAGCCCCAAUUUCUCACCGUUGCAGAUUACUAAAACUUUCAUCAGUGGGAAUCUUGACAUAGUUUCAAAAACAUAUCAGAACUAACUUCUGAAAAAACAAAUCAGAGUUUGAAUAGCUAAGAAGAAUUCAACACUGUCAGAUUCACUGCUCAGUUUUUAUAAAGAGAGAAUCUGGGAGAACUAAGCUAAAACAUUGUUAUGAAUGAAGUUCAGAUGGAACAGUCAAAUGUUUGAUGACCAUCAGAUCCUAGCACAUGUAAGUAUAAAAAGCCAAAUUUUUGUAGAAACCUGUAGAAGCGGAUGAUAGAACCAGCUAGGAGAGUCUACAGAUGAAAAUCAGUUUAUGAUCAUGAUCCCAACACUACAACAAAUAUGGGUAUUGAUAGCAGAUUAUAAUAGCACAUUUUUCGUAACUGCUAUGAAAAGGUUGUUGGAAGUUUGGGUAAUAAUAUUAUAGCAUUAAAAUUAUGCUAU